rnacentral:rRNA from 1 species
GAUGAACGCUGGCGGCGUGCUUAACACAUGCAAGUCGAACGGAAAGGCUCCUGCUUGCAGGGGUACUCGAGUGGCGAACGGGUGAGUAACACGUGGGUGAUCUGCCCUGCACUUCGGGAUAAGCCUGGGAAACUGGGUCUAAUACCGGAUAGGACCACAUUUUGGAUGGUGUGGUGGAAAGUUUUUCGGUGUGGGAUGAGCUCGCGGCCUAUCAGCUUGUUGGUGGGGUAAUGGCCUACCAAGGCGUCGACGGGUAGCCGGCCUGAGAGGGUGUACGGCCACAUUGGGCCUGAGAGACGGCCCAGACUCCUACGGGAGGCAGCAGUGGGGAAUAUUGCACAAUGGGCGCAAGCCUGAUGCAGCGACGCCGCGUGGGGGAUGACGGCCUUCGGGUUGUAAACUCCUUUCGCUAGGGACGAAGCGUUUUUGUGACGGUACCUGGAGAAGAAGCACCGGCUAACUACGUG